rnacentral:rRNA from 1 species
UACGUAGGGUGCAAGCGUUAAUCGGAAUUACUGGGCGUAAAGCGUGCGCAGGCGGUUCCGCAAGUCAGAUGUGAAAUCCCCGGGCUUAACCUGGGAACUGCAUUUGAAACUAUGGAGCUAGAGUAUGUCAGAGGGGGGUAGAAUUCCACGUGUAGCAGUGAAAUGCGUAGAGAUGUGGAGGAAUACCGAUGGCGAAGGCAGCCCCCUGGGACAAUACUGACGCUCAGGCACGAAAGCGUGGGGAGCAAACAGG